GGGUGAGUAAUGCCUAGGAAUCUGCCUGGUAGUGGGGGAUAACGCUCGGAAACGGACGCUAAUACCGCAUACGUCCUACGGGAGAAAGCAGGGGACCUUCGGGCCUUGCGCUAUCAGAUGAGCCUAGGUCGGAUUAGCUAGUUGGUGAGGUAAUGGCUCACCAAGGCGACGAUCCGUAACUGGUCUGAGAGGAUGAUCAGUCACACUGGAACUGAGACACGGUCCAGACUCCUACGGGAGGCAGCAGUGGGGAAUAUUGGACAAUGGGCGAAAGCCUGAUCCAGCCAUGCCGCGUGUGUGAAGAAGGUCUUCGGAUUGUAAAGCACUUUAAGUUGGGAGGAAGGGCAUUUACCUAAUACGUAAGUGUUUUGACGUUACCGACAGAAUAAGCACCGGCUAACUCUGUGCCAGCAGCCGCGGUAAUACAGAGGGUGCAAGCGUUAAUCGGAAUUACUGGGCGUAAAGCGCGCGUAGGUGGUUCGUUAAGUUGGAUGUGAAAUCCCCGGGCUCAACCUGGGAACUGCAUUCAAAACUGUCGAGCUAGAGUAUGGUAGAGGGUGGUGGAAUUUCCUGUGUAGCGGUGAAAUGCGUAGAUAUAGGAAGGAACACCAGUGGCGAAGGCGACCACCUGGACUGAUACUGACACUGAGGUGCGAAAGCGUGGG
rnacentral:rRNA from 1 species